rnacentral:rRNA from 1 species
UACGUAGGGUGCGAGCGUUGUCCGGAAUUAUUGGGCGUAAAGGGCUCGUAGGCGGUCUGUUGCGUCGGGAGUGAAAAACUCAGGGCUUAACCCUGAGCCUGCUUCCGAUACGGGCAGACUAGAGGUAUGCAGGGGAGAACGGAAUUCCCCGGUGUAGCGGUGAAAUGCGCAGAUAUCGGGAAGAACACCCGUGGCGAAGGCGGCUUUCUGGGACGGUACUGACGCUGAGACG